rnacentral:rRNA from 1 species
AGACGUCUACAUUAGAUACCCGUGUAGUCCCAGCCGUAAACUAUGCGCGUUAGGUGUAUCGGUGACCACGAGUUACCGAGGUGCCGAAGGGAAACCGUGAAACGUGCCGCCUGGGAAGUACGGUCGCAAGGCUGAAACUUAAAGGAAUUGGCGGGAGCACCACAACAGGUGGAGCCUGCGGUUUAAUUGGACUCAACGCCGGGAAGCUCACCGGAUAGGACAGCAGAAUGAUUGCCGGGCUGAAGACCCUGCAUGACUAGCUG